rnacentral:tRNA from 1 species
GCGCGAGUGGCGGAAUGGCAGACGCGCUGGCUUCAGGUGCCAGUGUCCGUAAGGACGUGGGGGUUCAAGUCCCCCCUCGCGCACC